GACGAACGCUGGCGGCGUGCCUAAUACAUGCAAGUCGAACGCAGUGGGGACGGGUGAGUAACACGUGGGUAACCUCCCAUCAGAGGGGAUAACACUUGGAAACAGGUGCUAAACCGAUACUGAUGGAUGAACCCGCGGGGCAUUAGCUAGUUGGUGAGGUAACGGCGCACAAAGGCCACGAUGCCUAGCCUGCCUGAGAGGGUGUGCGGCCCCACUGCGACUGAACCACGGCCCAGACUCCUACGGGAGGUAGUAGUAGGGAAUCUUCGGCAAUGGACGAAAGUCUGACCGAGCAACGCCGCGGUAGUGAAGAAGGUUUUCGGAUCGUAAAACUCUGUUGUUAGAUAAGCGGUAUUUAACCAGAAAGCCACGGCUAACUACGUGCCAGCAGCCGCGGUAAUUC
rnacentral:rRNA from 1 species